AGAGUUUGAUCAUGGCUCAGAGUGAACGCUGGCGGCGUGCCUAACACAUGCAAGUCGAACGCGAAAGUCCUCUUCGGAGGGCAAGUAGAGUGGCAGACGGGUGAGUAAUGCAUAGGUAAUUUUCCCUUGAGUGGGGGACAACUGAUCGAAAGGUCAGCUAAUCCCGCAUGACAUCCAGUUGCUUAAGUGAUUGGAUUAAAGAGGGGGCUCUUUCGGGACCUCUCGCUUAAGGAUGAGCUUAUGUCCUAUUAGCUAGUUGGUAGGGUAACGGCCUACCAAGGCUCUGAUGGGUAGCCGAGCUUAGAGGCUGAUCGGCCACACUGGAACUGAGACACGGUCCAGACUCCUACGGGAGGCAGCAGUGGGGAAUUUUGCGCAAUGGGCGAAAGCCUGACGCAGCGACGCCGCGUGAGGGAUGAAGGUCUUCGUGAUCGUAAACCUCUGUCAGGGAGGAUUAAAUGUGUAGGUGUUAAUACCAUCUAUGCUUGACUUAACUCCCAGAGGAAGCCCCGGCUAACUACGUGCCAGCAGCCGCGGUAAUACGUA
rnacentral:rRNA from 1 species